GAUAUGGCUCAGGAUGAACGCUAGCUACAGGCUUAACACAUGCAAGUCGAGGGGAAACGACAUCGAAAGCUUGCUUUUGAUGGGCGUCGACCGGCGCACGGGUGAGUAACGCGUAUCCAACCUGCCCAUCACUUGGGGAUAACCUUGCGAAAGUAAGACUAAUACCCAAUGAUAUCUCUAGAAGACAUCUGAAAGGGAUUAAAGAUUUAUCGGUGAUGGAUGGGGAUGCGU
rnacentral:rRNA from 1 species